UUUAAUUCGAUGCAACGCGAAGAACCUUACCUGGUCUUGACAUCCACGGAAGUUUUCAGAGAUGAGAAUGUGCCUUCGGGAACCGUGAGACAGGUGCUGCAUGGCUGUCGUCAGCUCGUGUUGUGAAAUGUUGGGUUAAGUCCCGCAACGAGCGCAACCCUUAUCCUUUGUUGCCAGCGGUCCGGCCGGGAACCCAAAGGAGACUGCCAGUGAUAAACUGGAGGAAGGUGGGGAUGACGUCAAGUCAUCAUGGCCCUUACGACCAGGGCUACACACGUGCUACAAUGGCGCAUACAAAGAGAAGCGACCUCGCGAGAGCAAGCGGACCUCAUAAAGUGCGUCGUAGUCCGGAUUGGAGUCUGCAACUCGACUCCAUGAAGUCGGAAUCGCUAGUAAUCGUGGAUCAGAAUGCCA
rnacentral:rRNA from 1 species